rnacentral:rRNA from 1 species
AGGUUAAGUGAAUAAGGGCGCACGGUGGAUGCCUUGGCACUAGAAGCCGAUGAAGGACGGGACUAACGCCGAUAUGCUUUGGGGAGCUGUAAGUAAGCUGUGAUCCAGAGAUUUCCGAAUGGGGGAACCCAGCAUCUUUUAUAGGAUGUUACGCUUGUGUGAAUACAUAGCGCAGGCGAGGUAGACGCAGAGAACUGAAACAUCUAAGUACCUGCAGGAAGAGAAAGAAAAAUCGAUUUCCUGAGUAGCGGCGAGCGAAACGGAAAGAGCCCAAACCAGAGAGCUUGCUCUCUGGGGUUGUAGGACUCAGUUAUGGCAAGUGCGGGUGAUAGUCGAAUCGACCUGGAAAGGUCAGCCGGAGUGGGUAAAAGCCCCGUAGGCGAAAUGACGCGCACACCUAUGAGUAUCCUGAGUACGGCGGAACACGAGAAAUUCCGUCGGAAUCCGGGAGGACCAUCUCCCAAGGCUAAAUACUCUCUAGUGACCGAUAGUGAACCAGUACCGUGAGGGAAAGGUGAAAAGCACCCCGGGAGGGGAGUGAAAUAGAACCUGAAACCGUGUGCCUACAACAAGUCAAAGCCCGUUAAUGGGUGAUGGCGUGCCUUUUGCAGAAUGAACCGGCGAGUUACGAUUGCGUGCGAGGUUAAGGUGAAGAGCCGGAGCCGCAGCGAAAGCGAGUCUGAAUAGGGCGAGUGAGUACGUAGUCGUAGACCCGAAACCAUGUGACCUACCCAUGUCCAGGUUGAAGGUGUGGUAAAACACACUGGAGGACCGAACCCACGUACGUUGAAAAGUGCGGGGAUGAGGUGUGGGUAGCGGAGAAAUUCCAAACGAACUUGGAGAUAGCUGGUUCUCUCCGAAAUAGCUUUAGGGCUAGCCUCGGAAGUGAGAAUGAUGGAGGUAGAGCACUGUUUGGACUAGGGGCCCAUCUCGGGUUACCGAAUUCAGAUAAACUCCGAAUGCCAUUCAUUUAUAUCCGGGAGUCAGACAGUGAGUGAUAAGAUCCAUUGUCGAAAGGGAAACAGCCCAGACCACCAGCUAAGGUCCCCAAAUAUAUGUUAAGUGGAAAAGGAUGUGGGGGUGCACAAACAACUAGGAUGUUGGCUUAGAAGCAGCCACCAUUUAAAGAGUGCGUAAUAGCUCACUAGUCGAGUGCCCCUGCGCCGAAAAUUUACCGGGGCUAAACAUAUUACCGAAGCUGUGGAUGACACCAAUGGUGUCAUGGUAGGAGAGCGUUCUAAGGGCGUUGAAGGCAGAUCGUGAGGACUGCUGGAGCGCUUGGAAGUGAGAAUGCCGGUAUGAGUAGCGAAAGACAGGUGAGAAUCCUGUCCACCGUAUGACUAAGGUUUCCUGGGGAAGGCUCGUCCUCCCAGGGUUAGUCGGGACCUAAGCCGAGGCCGACAGGCGUAGGCGAUGGACAACAGGUUGAUAUUCCUGUACUCCCAUGUUUUGUUUGAGCGAAGGAGGGACACAGGAGGCUAAGAAAAGCAGACGAUUGGAAGAGUCUGUCCAAGCAAUGAGUCUGACGCAGAGUCAAAUGCUUUGUGUCGUAAGGACAAGUUGUGAUGGGGAGGGAACAUAAGUACCGAAGUUUCUGACGCCACACUGUCAAGAAAAUCUUCUAGUGAGAAACAAGGGACCCGUACCGCAAACCGACACAGGUAGUCGAGGAGAGCAUCCUAAGGUGAGCGAGCGAACUCUCGUUAAGGAACUCGGCAAAAUGACCCCGUAACUUCGGGAAAAGGGGUGCUGUCCUCCGGGACAGCCGCAGUGAAUAGGCCCAAGCGACUGUUUAUCAAAAACACAGGUCUCUGCAAAAUCGAAAGAUGACGUAUAGGGGCUGACGCCUGCCCGGUGCUGGAAGGUUAAGAGGAUGGGUUAGCGCAAGCGAAGCUCAAAAUUGAAGCCCCAGUAAACGGCGGCCGUAACUAUAACGGUCCUAAGGUAGCGAAAUUCCUUGUCGGGUAAGUUCCGACCCGCACGAAAGGCGUAACGAUUUGGGCACUGUCUCAACGAGAGACUCGGUGAAAUUUUAGUACCUGUGAAGAUGCAGGUUACCCGCGACAGGACGGAAAGACCCCAUGGAGCUUUACUGUAGUUUGAUAUUGAGUGUUUGUGACACACGUACAGGAUAGGUAGGAGCCGUAGAAAUCGGGACGCUAGUUUCGAUGGAGGCGCUGGUGGGAUACUACCCUUGUGUUAUGACCAUUCUAACCCGCGCCACUAAACGUGGUGGGAGACAGUGUCAGAUGGGCAGUUUGACUGGGGCGGUCGCCUCCCAAAAAGUAACGGAGGCGCCCAAAGGUUCCCUCAGAAUGGUUGGAAAUCAUUCGUAGAGUGCAAAGGCAGAAGGGAGCUUGACUGCGAGAGCAACAACUCGAGCAGGGACGAAAGUCGGGCUUAGUGAUCCGGUGGUACCGCAUGGAAGGGCCAUCGCUCAACGGAUAAAAGCUACCCUGGGGAUAACAGGCUUAUCUCCCCCAAGAGUUCACAUCGACGGGGAGGUUUGGCACCUCGAUGUCGGCUCGUCGCAUCCUGGGGCUGUAGUCGGUCCCAAGGGUUGGGCUGUUCGCCCAUUAAAGCGGCACGCGAGCUGGGUUCAGAACGUCGUGAGACAGUUCGGUCCCUAUCCGUCGCGGGCGUAGGAAAUUUGAGAGGCGCUGUCCUUAGUACGAGAGGACCGGGAUGGACACACCUCUGGUGUACCAGUUGUUCCGCCAGGAGCAUCGCUGGGUAGCUAUGUGUGGACGGGAUAAACGCUGAAAGCAUCUAAGCGUGAAGCCCCCCUCAAGAUGAGAUUUCCCAUUUCUUUAAGAAAGUAAGACCCCUGAGAGAUGAUCAGGUAGAUAGGCUGGAAGUGGACGUGCAGUGAUGUAUGGAGCGGACCAGUACUAAUCGGUCGAGGACUUAACCACAA